rfam:Gossypium arboreum cultivar AKA8401 contig_5678_1, whole genome shotgun sequence.
GAGUCCGAUAAUACCAAAACUAAUGCACCGGAUUCCAUCAGAACUUCAUUGUUAAGCGUGCUUGGGAGAGAGUAGUACUAGGAUGGAUGACCUUUUCGAAAUUCUUUGUGUUGCACCCC